rnacentral:lncRNA from 1 species
CUUUAAUGUUCAUAAAAAUGUUUUUAAUGUCUUCUAAUUUGGUUGUAUUUAAAUAAUCAAAAGAUCUUUCUUCAUAUCCAAGACUUUUCACUCUAGUGCAUAUAUCAGGUAUACCCGCCAUGAUAUAGACAAUUUUCUUUUCUUUUAUGCUUUUUAAUUUAGAAUAUGCGGUUUUGCCUAAAUCUUCAAGUUUUCACCAGGUUUGAUAAAUAUCUUUCUACAUGAAAUAUUUUAAAUGCAUCUUCCACG